GUUUAGUUUCGCAUUUUGGCCCCUGUGGAUUUUUCAAAUAGGAAAGUUAUUGUGUAAUAAAAUUCAUUUUUAGACAGCCGAGUGCUAAUUUAGCCUUCAAAGGUGGUUUAUAAGUGCAUCAAGAUUAUUUUUUACAUGUUUUAUGGGCUGUUUUCUGUUUGACAAUCCGUAUUUUCAUAGCUAGACCGGCCAUCGGUCCAGAAAUUAAUGUAAUGUUUACAAACACUUUUUUUCUACACGAAGUUUUUUGACGCAAUUUUACAAAAAAAUGAGAUGAAAGACAUAUGAUUUUCCUUGGAUUUGCUGAAUGAUAUAUGUACACAGUUUCAGAAAAGGUAUUACUUCAAGCGAUUGAAAUUCU
rnacentral:lncRNA from 1 species